rnacentral:rRNA from 1 species
UUAAAACUUUUAACAACGGAUCUCUUGGUUCUGGCAUCGAUGAAGAACGCAGCGAAAUGCGAUAAGUAAUGUGAAUUGCAGAAUUCAGUGAAUCAUCGAAUCUUUGAACGCACAUUGCGCCCCCUGGUAUUCCGGGGGGCAUGCCUGUUCGAGCGUCAUUUCACCACUCAAGCCUCGCUUGGUAUUGGGCAACGCGGUCCGCCGCGUGCCUCAAAUCGACCGGCUGGGUCUUCUGUCCCCUAAGCGUUGUGGAAACUAUUCGCUAAAGGGUGCUCGGGAGGCUACGCCGUAAAACAAACCCAUUUCUAAGGUUGACCUCGGAUCAGGUAGGGAUACCCGCUGAACUUAAGCAUAUCAAUAAGCGGAGGACGC